CACCUCACUGAAUAUUUCUUGAAUGAAUGACUGUAUUAAUAAAUGUGUGAGGAAAUUUAAAGUUCAGCUUAAGAGACUGGAAACAAUGAGAAACAGCUAUAAAAUGAAUGCUGCCUGUUCAGCAGGAAGGCCAGCAGGCAGAGAGGCAGCAUGGCACCUUUCAAGAAGCACCAGCCUGGGAGACAGAGGACAAAGGACAAGGAAUAGAACGGCACCACUGGGAAUUCCCCCAGAAGCACAAGAACUAGAUAUGAAGGAUAAAACUGUCCACUG